ACUUGAAUUGAAGAGUUUGAUCAUGGCUCAGAUUGAACGCUGGCGGCAGGCUUAACACAUGCAAGUCGAACGGUAACAUAAAG
rnacentral:rRNA from 1 species